GGGGGCCAGGGGUGGUGGGGCUGGGGGCGGGCAGGGCGAGCAGGGACAGACGCCUGACGCUGGGGGUAUGGCUGAGCGCAUCGGGGGCCUUCUGGGCGAUGCUGGAUGCCGUGUAGCUCUCAGCCAUGCCUGACACCUGGCUGGCGAUGCUGAUCUCACUGGCUCGGCGGAAGCCACGACUGGCAGGGGCAGUGCCCGGCGAGGAGGGGGCGCCAUGCUCUUGGAAGGCUGCAUUG
rnacentral:lncRNA from 1 species